rnacentral:rRNA from 1 species
UACGGAGGAUGCAAGCGUUAUCCGGAAUGAUUGGGCGUAAAGCGUCCGCAGGUGGCUGUGUAAGUCUGCUGUUAAAGAGUCUGGCUCAACCAGAUAAAGGCAGUGGAAACUACACGGCUAGAGUGCGUUCGGGGCAGAGGGAAUUCCUGGUGUAGCGGUGAAAUGCGUAGAGAUCAGGAAGAACACCGGUGGCGAAAGCGCUCUGCUAGGCCGCAACUGACACUGAGGGACGAAAGCUAGGGGAGCGAAUGGG